rnacentral:rRNA from 1 species
GAUGAACGCUGGCGGCGUGCCUAAUACAUGCAAGUCGAGCGAACAGAUAAGGAGCUUGCUCCUUUGACGUUAGCGGCGGACGGGUGAGUAACACGUGGGUAACCUACCUAUAAGACUGGAAUAACUCCGGGAAACCGGGGCUAAUGCCGGAUAACAUUUAGAACCGCAUGGUUCUAAAGUGAAAGAUGGUUUUGCUAUCACUUAUAGAUGGACCCGCGCCGUAUUAGCUAGUUGGUAAGGUAACGGCUUACCAAGGCAACGAUACGUAGCCGACCUGAGAGGGUGAUCGGCCACACUGGAACUGAGACACGGUCCAGACUCCUACGGGAGGCAGCAGUAGGGAAUCUUCCGCAAUGGGCGAAAGCCUGACGGAGCAACGCCGCGUGAGUGAUGAAGGUCUUCGGAUCGUAAAACUCUGUUAUUAGGGAAGAACAAAUGUGUAAGUAACUGUGCACGUCUUGACGGUAUCUAAUCAGAAAGCCACGGCUAACUACGUG